AGUGAACGCUGGCGGUAGGCCUAACACAUGCAAGUCGAACGGCAGCACAGUAAGAGCUUGCUCUUACGGGUGGCGAGUGGCGGACGGGUGAGGUAUACAUCGGAAUCUACUUUUUCGUGGGGGAUAACGUAGGGAAACUUACGCUAAUACCGCAUACGACCUACGGGUGAAAGCAGGGGAUCUUCGGACCUUGCGCGAUUGAAUGAGCCGAUGUCGGAUUAGCUAGUUGGCGGGGUAAAGGCCCACCAAGGCGACGAUCCGUAGCUGGUCUGAGAGGAUGAUCAGCCACACUGGAACUGAGACACGGUCCAGACUCCUACGGGAGGCAGCAGUGGGGAAUAUUGGACAAUGGGCGCAAGCCUGAUCCAGCCAGACCGCGUGGGUGAAGAAGGCCUUCGGGUUGUAAAGCCCUUUUGUUGGGAAAGAAAAGCAGCAGGUUAAUACCCCGCUGUUCUGACGGUACCCAAAGAAUAAGCACCGGCUAACUUCGUG
rnacentral:rRNA from 1 species